GGAGGAAUGGCCGAGUGGCUUAAGGCAACAGUCUUGAAAACUGUCGUACCGCAAGGUACCGUGGGUUCAAAUCCUACUUCCUCCGCCA
rnacentral:tRNA from 1 species